UGGGAAUUUUGGACAAUGGGCGAAAGCCUGAUCCAGCAAUGCCGCGUGUGUGAAGAAGGCCUUCGGGUUGUAAAGCACUUUUGUCCGGAAAGAAAUCCUUGGCUCUAAUACAGUCGGGGGAUGACGGUACCGGAAGAAUAAGCACCGGCUAACUACGUGCCAGCAGCCGCGGUAAUACGUAGGGUGCAAGCGUUAAUCGGAAUUACUGGGCGUAAAGCGUGCGCAGGCGGUUUGCUAAGACCGAUGUGAAAUCCCCGGGCUCAACCUGGGAACUGCAUUGGUGACUGGCAGGCUAGAGUAUGGCAGAGGGGGGUAGAAUUCCACGUGUAGCAGUGAAAUGCGUAGAGAUGUGGAGGAAUACCGAUGGCGAAGGCAGCCCCCUGGGCCAAUACUGACGCUCAUGCACGAAAGCGUGGGGAGCAAAACAGGAUUAGAUACCCCUGGUAGUCCACGCCCUAAACGAUGUCAACUAGUUGUUGGGGAUUC
rnacentral:rRNA from 1 species